rnacentral:rRNA from 1 species
AUUGAACGCUGGCGGCAUGCUUUACACAUGCAAGUCGAACGGUAACAGGUUAAGCUGACGAGUGGCGAACGGGUGAGUAAUGCAUCGGAACGUGCCCGAUCGUGGGGGAUAACGCAGCGAAAGCUGCGCUAAUACCGCAUACGAUCUGAGGAUGAAAGCGGGGGACCGUAAGGCCUCGCGCGAUCGGAGCGGCCGAUGUCAGAUUAGGUAGUUGGUGGGGUAAAGGCCCACCAAGCUGACGAUCUGUAGCUGGUCUGAGAGGACGACCAGCCACACUGGGACUGAGACACGGCCCAGACUCCUACGGGAGGCAGCAGUGGGGAAUUUUGGACAAUGGGCGAAAGCCUGAUCCAGCAAUGCCGCGUGCAGGAAGAAGGCCUUCGGGUUGUAAACUGCCUUUGUACGGAGCGAAAAGGUCCUUUCUAAUACAAGGGGCUCAUGACGGUACCGUAAGAAUAAGCACCGGCUAACUACGUGCCAGCAGCCGCGGUAA